GAGAGAGACUGAGAGCGAAAAGAGAGGAUGGAUGGAAUUGAGCAGAUAGGUGUGCCAUUGCUGGGAAUUGUUGCAGCUGCUGCUCUUACUUUCUAUGCUGUUAGUUUUAAUGAGCUCAGAGAGAAAUCAGUGAAGGAGUAUGAGGAAAGGGAAGAAGGAAACAAUAACAAUGGUAGAUUCAUGACCUCAAGAGAGAAGAGGGCCCAAAGGAAGGCCAAAAAGUCCCAGAAUUAACCCCCACUCUUUCCAACGUAAAAAUUUGAUUUAGAUGCGCAUGAUAUUUAAUUUUAGUUUACAUAUAUAUAUAUAUUUUUUUUUACUGGAUAUUCACGAACAAGACUCGGACUUGUUCGUUAAUGAAAUAAACCUAUUUUUUAUGUUAUUAGAUUCGAUUUGUUUAUAUUUGUGAACGAUCUCAAACUGAGUUGAAUCGAGUUAAAUAAGAUUAAUUCGUUUAACAA